CAGUCGCCACGGUAAUACGUAGGGCGCGAGCGUUGUCCGGAAUUAUUGGGCGUAAAGGGCUUGUAGGCGGUUGGUCGCGUCUGCCGUGAAAUCCUCUGGCUCAGCUGGGGGCGUGCGGUGGGUACGGGCUGGCUUGAGUGCGGUAGGGGAGGCUGGAACUCCUGGUGUAGCGGUGGAAUGCGCAGAUAUCAGGAGGAACACCGGUGGCGAAGGCGGGUCUCUGGGCCGUUACUGACACUGAGAGACGAAAGCUAAGGGAGCAAAUGGGAUUAGAUACCCCAGUAGUCCCUGUCUCUUAUAA
rnacentral:rRNA from 1 species